AUUGAACGCUGGCGGCAGGCCUAACACAUGCAAGUCGAGCGGAUGAAGGGAGCUUGCUCCUGGAUUCAGCGGCGGACGGGUGAGUAAUGCCUAGGAAUCUGCCUGGUAGUGGGGGAUAACGUCCGGAAACGGGCGCUAAUACCGCAUACGUCCUGAGGGAGAAAGUGGGGGAUCUUCGGACCUCACGCUAUCAGAUGAGCCUAGGUCGGAUUAGCUAGUUGGUGGGGUAAAGGCCUACCAAGGCGACGAUCGGUAACUGGUCUGAGAGGAUGAUCAGUCACACUGGAACUGAGACACGGUCAAGACUCCUACGGGAGGCAGCAGUGGGGAAUAUUGGACAAUGGGCGAAAGCCUGAUCCAGCCAUGCCGCGUGUGUGAAGAAGGUCUUCGGAUUGUAAAGCACUUUAAGUUGGGAGGAAGGGCAGUAAGUUAAUACCUUGCUGUUUUGACGUUACCAACAGAAUAAGCACCGGCUAACUUCGUG
rnacentral:rRNA from 1 species